rnacentral:rRNA from 1 species
UACAGAGGGGGCAAGCGUUGUUCGGAAUUACUGGGCGUAAAGGGCGCGUAGGCGGCCUUCUAAGUCGAACGUGAAAUCCCCGGGCUCAGCCCGGGAACUGCGUCCGAUACUGGAAGGCUUGAAUCCGGGAGAGGGAUGUGGAAUUCCAGGUGUAGCGGUGAAAUGCGUAGAUAUCUGGAGGAACACCGGUGGCGAAGGCGGCAUCCUGGACCGGUAUUGACGCUGAGGCGCGAAAGCUAGGGGAGCAAACGGG